GAGAGAGACUGGGUUACCGAGAACUGCUAAUUACUCGCUACCGUGGUUCAAUUCCGCGGUUCACUCG
rnacentral:tRNA from 1 species